rnacentral:rRNA from 1 species
UACAGGGGGUGCAAACGUUGCUCGGAAUCAUUGGGCGUAAAGCGCACGUAGGCGGUUCGUUAUGUCGGAUGUGAAAGCCCUUGGCUUAACCGAGGAAGUGCAUCCGAAACUGGCGAGCUAGAGUACUAAAGAGGAUCGCGGAAUUCCCGGUGUAGCGGUGAAAUGCGCAGAUAUCAGGAGGAACACCGGUGGCGAAGGCGGGUCUCUGGGCCGAUAUUGACGCUGAGGAGCGAAAAGCGUGGGGGAGCGAACAGG